rnacentral:lncRNA from 1 species
UGUCACAGUCCUCGGAGGUGCGUGAAUUGGGGUGGCUGGCUUACUGGUUAUCCAUUCGCUUCAAGAUUUUCUAUCAUGUUUCCAUAUUUUUCAUUUAUGCUAUUCUGACAAUGAUGAAACCUGCUAGAUUUGUUAGCUUUACACUUCUCUAAAAUUUUCGGAGUUACCCUUUCCCUGAUGACAGAUUUUUCCAGUUUGUUUUAAAUGACCAUGAAAUGUCAAUCUCUAUAUCUUUUAAACAUGUGUUAUCUGAAUAAAUGUUUGAGCACUGCGUGUGCACUAUGUUCUCUGAAUAAAUGAAAUGUGCACCCUGCUCUUUGAUUGUGUGGCUAUUUAGUCAUUAUCGUGGUUUUAGAUAUAUUGACUCGUCUUGUACCCUAAUACAAUGUUACCCUCCCCCUGAAUGUGGCACUUUGUUGCCCAGCUUGUGCUAACUGAAUGAUAGUUAUGUAUCAAAAUGAGAUGAAUAAGAAUCCUUUUGUUUUUUCCCUAAGAUAUUGGUUCUGAUUUCUAAAAAAACUGAAGUUACUAAGUUGUGUUCAGGGUUCUGGCCACACUGGUCCCUGCCUGUGCACCCACUGGGCGCGGCCUAGUCGCCAUCGUCCAAGCCCACCAUCCCAUACCGCAUCAUGUCAAUAGGCAGGCUACAGAGGCAACAUAAUCGUCCUCCUGCAAUGGCUUAGAUACAAAAGCUCUAGAAUCAAUUUAACAGUCACAAAUAUGUG